AAUAACCAAAUAUAACAUUUGGGCUAAGAGUCAAGUUGGUAAUUUUUCUUAUAUCUACCCCUCCGGAGCCUAGGUAUCAUAUACGACUCCAAAUUAAAGAGUCUUGAAUAUUAAAGGAAAAACACCUAUACUUAACAAAAUUAAAUGAAUACCCAAAAUUAUGGUCAUUUUAUUUCUAUCUUUCCA
rnacentral:antisense_RNA from 8 species